CAUUCCAUUCCAGACUGCCACAAGCAAAGUGGAACUCAAACUGGUUAGAAAAUCGCUGAAAACUGAAAAAGAACAUCCAUAUCUAGCAUGUGCGAUUUCUCAAUUAGGCGAGGAAUUGGAAGCGAAUUCCCCCUGGCCGCUAACCUUGUCAUUGUGUGGUUAUGCCGGGGAAUGCAAAGUGCUGUUCAGCUAGAGAGGGGCUAUAAUUUAUUGUCAAUCCAAACAUAUGCAUGUAUAUGUGCAUAAAUAAUUGGCUUUUUA
rnacentral:lncRNA from 1 species